UUUUUUUCUAACCCUUCUUACUAAUUUUUACAAGGGGUGCCAAUAAUAGUGGAGAGCACUGUAUUUAUCCUUUUUAUCUUAGGAUGGCAUGUCUGUGACUUGCAUAUUAUUUUAGGUAGUGUCCAGAUUGGGGUAUUCAUAAUACUCUGAAAAAAUUGAUGUAUUCUAAAAAACCUAUUGAGAUAACCAUGAAUGAGAGUUUUUGUAGUGAAGCACAGAGUAAUUCUCACAGUUUGAACUCUACACAAAGUGUCCACUUUUAUGAGAAUACAUGAAUGUUCAGACCAAAACCAGAGAGCUUGCACAAGACCAAUACUACAUAUGAUAAUUUGAUGUACUUAUUUGUGUGUCCACCAUGUAGGAGAGCAGACUGGCCGUGUGGCUGCAGAAUGGCAACUGACUCGAGAACAAGGGAAUCGGGUUUAUGAGGCUGUAGAGAUCAGCAGGGCCUCCAGGAGGACUCAACAUGAAAACUGUUGGAGUUCAUCAUAAAGGGCCAUGGAUCAGAUGAUCACUUGCUGGCUGUUGUAUCUGAAAAGGUGUUAUCCAAAUGGUUAAAAAUGAUGAAGAUCCUAAAGGUCACCAGGUAAUGACCUCUAUACAGUAGAAGAUGAGGAGCUGACAGAUGGCCUCUAAAACUACCUGAUGAAGUGCUGUCAAGAGCUGUAGGCACUUUUGAAAAGAUCAACAGAGUUUUCAUCAUUCUGGAUGUGCUGAUGCCAGAGGCUCAUUUGGCUUCAGUGAAUCUCUGACGAGUACAGAAAGUAUCUCCAUGAGUAAGAAGCAGAAGGUCUGUUCAUUGAUGGACCAGCAGAUGUGAGUAAAGAGUUUGACACACUUGUGGUUCAACUGUGUAAGAUAUGGCCGCCAUGUACCCGGCCAAUACCCCAAGCCCAGGU